rnacentral:lncRNA from 1 species
AUGUCUAUACUGAACUAAGACCAUAUAAAAUGUGUUUAGUGGGGAUUAUUUGACAUAGUCACCCACCAUAUCCCUAUGUUUGCCUGAUUUUCUAGAAAUUUCCCUUUCUGGAUUAUACUAAAACAGAAAGCACUGGUUAUGUAAUAAGUUACUGCAUUGCUUUGGUUGGGUAAAAGCAAGAGUUUGUAUUUUUCUUGUUUCUUAUUUUCUUAACCCGU